UUUUUUUAAUCACCAUAUAUUUAAAGCACCAUUAAUACAUGAUGUAGACAGAAAAUAACUAGUUUUUCAUCUUUGAGUCCCAAAAACCCAUCUUCAACGAAUGAUGAAGAUGCAGAAAAAAAAUCUCCAACUUUCGAAGAUGCAAAAUACAACACCUCAAGAUGCAAAUAUACAUCUUCACCUACAAGAGAUGUAAAACGGCUUCAUUCGGCUUCCAACCGUCCGCCCGUCACGUGUCCGCCUCCGCCGCGGACCGAUUUCGACCAAAAUCGACG
rnacentral:lncRNA from 1 species